ACCGAAGCCCGUAGCCGUUCCCUUCCGGGUACGUGACGGGUGGCUGGUAUCCUUCUAUCGAGGGGUGUAUGGCGCAGCGUGGGCCGGCCUCCGGGUCGCGAAUCCCCACCGUUGCGGCGGACCAUCCCUUGAGCAAACCAGUGGGGGCAAUUGGAUGGCCCGCGGAUACCUCCCGGCGGCUUCGGCCCCUGGAGGUGAUUCGGGCCGGGCGCUGGGUUCGUCCUGCCCCCGACCUUCUAACUAAUCCCGACGCUCCCUUCACGGAGAGCUUCCGGCGGUCGCCCAUCCUUCGGGGUGAGCGGCUUCCCGGUUAAGAUAGUUACCUGGUUGAUUCUGCCAGUAGUCAUAUGCUUGUCU
rnacentral:misc_RNA from 1 species